CGGAGACGGUGGGACUCGAACCCACGCACUUUCGGUUAGAAGCCGAACGCUCUGUCCGCUGAGCUACGUCCCC
rnacentral:tRNA from 1 species